UGGGGAAUAUUGCACAAUGGGCGCAAGCCUGAUGCAGCCAUGCCGCGUGUGUGAAGAAGGCCUUCGGUUGUAAAGCACUUUCAGCGAGGAGGAAGGUGGUGAGCUUAAUACGCUCAUCAAUUGACGUUACUCGCAGAAGAAGCACCGGCUAACUCCGUGCCAGCAGCCGCGGUAAUACGGAGGGUGCAAGCGUUAAUCGGAAUUACUGGGCGUAAAGCGCACGCAGGCGGUUUGUUAAGUCAGAUGUGAAAUCCCCGGGCUCAACCUGGGAACUGCAUUUGAACUGGCAGCUAGAGUCUCGUAGAGGGGGGUAGAAUUCCAGGUGGUAGCGGUGAAAUGCGUAGAGAUCUGGAGGAAUACCGGUGGCGAAGGCGGCCCCCUGGACGAAGACUGA
rnacentral:rRNA from 1 species